rnacentral:rRNA from 1 species
GACGAACGCUGGCGGCGUGCUUAACACAUGCAAGUCGAACGGAAAGGCCCUGCUUUUGUGGGGUGCUCGAGUGGCGAACGGGUGAGUAACACGUGAGUAACCUGCCCUUGACUUUGGGAUAACUUCAUGAAACUGGGGCUAAUACCGGAUAGGAGCUCCUGCUGCAUGGUGGGGGUUGGAAAGUUUCGGCGGUUGGGGAUGGACUCGCGGCUUAUCAGCUUGUUGGUGGGGUAGUGGCUUACCAAGGCUUUGACGGGUAGCCGGCCUGAGAGGGUGACCGGCUACAUUGGGACUGAGAUACGGCCCAGACUCCUACGGGAGGCAGCAGUGGGGAAUAUUGCACAAUGGGCGGAAGCCUGAUGCAGCAACGCCGCGUGCGGGAUGACGGCCUUCGGGUUGUAAACCGCUUUCGCCUGUGACGAAGCGUGAGUGACGGUAAUGGGUAAAGAAGCACCGGCUAACUACGUG